GACAGAGGGUGCAAACGUUGUUCGGAAUUACUGGGCGUAAAGCGUGUGUAGGCGGCUUGGCAAGUCGGAUGUGAAAGCCCCGGGCUCAACCCGGGAAGUGCACUCGAUACUGCCGAGCUUGAGUAUCGGAGAGGUGGGUGGAAUUCUCGGUGUAGAGGUGAAAUUCGUAGAUAUCGAGAGGAACACCGGCGGCGAAGGCGGCGAUCUGGGUCGAUACUGACGCUGAGGUGCGAAAGCGUGGGGAGCAAACAGG
rnacentral:rRNA from 1 species